CAGUCGCCGCGGUAAUACGGAGGAUCCAAGCGUUAUCCGGAAUCAUUGGGUUUAAAGGGUCCGUAGGCGGUCUUGUAAGUCAGUGGUGAAAGCCCAUCGCUCAACGGUGGAACGGCCAUUGAUACUGCAGGACUUGAAUUAUUGGGAAGUAACUAGAAUAUGUAGUGUAGCGGUGAAAUGCUUAGAGAUUACAUGGAAUACCAAUUGCGAAGGCAGGUUACUACCAAUUGAUUGACGCUGAUGGACGAAAGCGUGGGUAGCGAACAGGAUUAGAUACCCCAGUAGUCCCUGUCUCUUAUAC
rnacentral:rRNA from 1 species